rnacentral:pre_miRNA from 1 species
AAAGUACUUCCUCCGUUCCAAAAUUCUUGUCUUAGAUUUGUCUAGAUAUAAAUGUAUCUAGUCAUGUUUUAGUAUUUAGAUACAUUCAUUUCUAGACAAACCUAAGACAAAAAUUUUGGGACGGAGGAAGUAGUGA